AUAUAUAUAUUGUGUUCCCUUGACCUGAGUGUUGUGAAGAUUGGCUUGGCUUCAUCGCUUCUUUGACCAGGUCUGAACCAGGUUAGUUCCAAAAGUCCGCCAUAAGAUUCGGUCUCAUAAGAACGCGAGACAUUGAGCAUUGAUGGUAAGCAACAUUAUGUAUUAUGCUUUAUGUAUGAAUUAUUUUAAAUAUUUUAUGUACUCAGGGUAAGCAACAUUAUGGUAAGCAGCAUUAUGUAUUAUGCUUGUGACCAGAUAUGGAUUGCUCUUUCAGGAUGUCAUUGGUUGGAAAAUCAGCUUAUAUACAAUAUUAGAAUUUGCUAUUAUGCAGGGCUCACUCUCUCUGUAAAGGUUUUUUUUCUCUCUCUAAAUGCCCAACAGGUCCUCAGUCUCUCUCCAUGUAUUCCAUGCUAUUAUCAUUGUGCAUUUUGGUAAAAGAUCAACACUAUUCUCCUCUAUUUUAACGUGCAAUAGACCAAGACUAUUCUUAUUAUUGUAGGUCGAAAAGAUGCUCCACAGAAGAUGUGGAUAAUUUUUGCCAAAGAUUCAAGAGCCAUUUUUUGUUACACGCUCCUUGAUAUAGUUCAAGAGCUAUUUUUUGGUACACGCUCCAUAGUUGUGGUGAAUGUAGUGAUUGUAAAAUUCAGUAUUGUAAUGGACAUAUGUGUGGUGAAUGUGGUGAUUGUGUUGUAUGGAAAUGGGGCAGUAAAGAGUCAUUUUUUUGGUUAAAUUAAGUUUUGUAAUGGAUAUGUGUGGCGAAUAUGUUCAUUUUGUUGUAUGGAAAUGGGGAUAGCAAAUAAUCAUUUUUUUGGUAAAAUCCAGUAUUGUAAUGGAUUGUUAUCGUGGUCAUUCAUCUUCUAGCUUGGAUUAGUUAA